GACGGGGCCCGCACAAGCGGUGGAGUAUGUGGUUUAAUUCGAUGCAACGCGAAGAACCUUACCUGGUCUUGACAUCCCGGAGACCCUUAGGAAACUAGGGGGUGCUUCCAUCUGGAAGAAUCUGGAGACAGGUGCUGCAUGGCUGUCGUCAGCUCGUGUCGUGAGAUGUUGGGUUAAGUCCCGCAACGAGCGCAACCCUUGCCUUUAGUUGCCAGCAGUUCGGCUGGGCACUCUAAAGGGACUGCCGGUGUUAAACCGGAGGAAGGUGGGGAUGACGUCAAGUCCUCAUGGCCUUUAUGACCAGGGCUACACACGUACACAAUGGCCGAUACAAAGGGCAGCGACACUGCGAGGUGAAGCCAAUCCCGUAAAAUCGGUCUCAGUCCGGAUUGGAGUCUGCAACUCGACUCCAUGAAGUUGGAAUCGCUAGUAAUCGUGGAUCAGCAUGCCACGGUGAAUACGUUCCCGGGCCUU
rnacentral:rRNA from 1 species